rnacentral:lncRNA from 1 species
GGGUGGCAGAGGCUGUGGUGCACCCUGCAGCUGUGGCUGCUCCUCGAGAGGCCACGGACCUGGCAGGAGCCAGCUAGUGCAGCAUGAUGGGCUUCUGGAAAGAUGUUUCUGGGUGCACGGAACACAGGAAGUUGAGCUGGAGCAGUUGAACUAGAUGGGUGGCUGGCAGAGCUCUGAAGAACAAGAUGAUAAAGAUGAGUCUCUUUACCCACUGGGGCAAUUGUCCCUGCAGCUUGAAUAUUUCCUGCCCUAUGGAGGUACUCAGUGAGUCCUUGUGGAAUGUAUCUGCACAUGGCUGUGUGUGGGUAACCCCUUUAUAACUGAGCCACUUUAUUCUUCAAAUUUUGAGGACAGAGGCCUACAUUCUGGGGUUUUUAUUCUCUCUCUUUACCCUAGAAGGAUACUGGACUUGAAAUAGGAAACAUUGAAGAAUGAAACUGAGUGAUGCAGUAGCUAGUGGGGUGACAUCAGUGUCUGAAAUCCACCUCUGAGAUAUCCUGAGGGGUCCUGCUUAUGUUUCCAGUACUCUGUGUGUAUCAGAGACCAAAAAGAAAAUGACAAAACUUAGCAAAUGCACUCACCUCUAAUGACCUAGAUGACACUAGCCAGUCACCUUACAUCUCAAGGCCUUGAUGUUAUCCUCAGAGAAGGGAAGGUCUAGAACUAGGUGAUCCCUUCCAGAGACCUGUGCUGGCCUUCACACGUGCUUGCAGCAAGGCUGAGACCUGCUGGCCUCACCAGAAAAUACUUUGCUGUGGAUUAACUGCGUCCCUGUUCAGCCCUGCAUCUGUCAGGACUGUCAGCAUGGGUACUGCUAGGUUUGAAAUGGCUGAGAACGAAUCUUGGGGUCAUGCAUGGGCUUUAGUCAGCCAUACCUGAGUGAAGUUCUUCAGUGUUAAGUAGCUGCAGAACUUGGGCAAAUUAUUAACUUCUCUAUACCUCAAUUUUAGCAUCUCUAAAAUGGGAAUAACAAUUAUAUCCACCUCACUGGCUGUGGUAAGGAUUAAGAGAUAAACUAUUGAGGCCUGAGGAUGAGCUCAGUGAUAGAGUUCUUGCCCAACCUGCACAAGACCUUGGGUUUAAUCCUUAGCACCACAAAACAAAAACAAAAACAAAAAAUGUAAUCCCAGCAAUCUGGAAGGCUGAGGCAGAAGGAUUGCAAGUUUGAGCCCAGCCUUGGCAAUUCAGCAAGACCCUGACUCCAAAUCAAUAUAAAAAAGGCUGGGAGUGUAGCUGUAAUGUGAAGGCCCUAAAUUCAAUCCCCAGUAUCACAGAAAGAAAAAGGAGGGGAGAGAGAGGUGGGGCUGGUGUGGGGGGAGGAUUUACCAUUGGUAAAUAUGCUUGGCCUGAUGACCGUUGCUAUAAUUUUGUGAUUUAUGUUUAUAGAAGCUACAGAACCUGCUUCACCAUCCUUGCUCUUGUCUAGGCUGUCUUCCCUCAGCCUCUGUCUAUCUGUUUCUCUGUCCAUUACUGACAGUCUGCUUUUCUUUCUAGAGUCAGU